GAUGAACGCUGGCGGCGUGCCUAAUACAUGCAAGUCGAGCGAACGGACGAGAAGCUUGCUUCUCUGAUGUUAGCGGCGGACGGGUGAGUAACACGUGGAUAACCUACCUAUAAGACUGGGAUAACUUCGGGAAACCGGAGCUAAUACCGGAUAAUAUUUUGAACCGCAUGGUUCAAAAGUGAAAGACGGUCUUGCUGUCACUUAUAGAUGGAUCCGCGCUGCAUUAGCUAGUUGGUAAGGUAACGGCUUACCAAGGCAACGAUGCAUAGCCGACCUGAGAGGGUGAUCGGCCACACUGGAACUGAGACACGGUCCAGACUCCUACGGGAGGCAGCAGUAGGGAAUCUUCCGCAAUGGGCGAAAGCCUGACGGAGCAACGCCGCGUGAGUGAUGAAGGUCUUCGGAUCGUAAAACUCUGUUAUUAGGGAAGAACAUAUGUGUAAGUAACUGUGCACAUCUUGACGGUACCUAAUCAGAAAGCCACGGCUAACUACGUGCCAGCAGCCGCGGUAAUACGUAGGUGGCAAGCGUUAUCCGGAAUUAUUGGGCGUAAAGCGCGCGUAGGCGGUUUUUUAAGUCUGAUGUGAAAGCCCACGGCUCAACCGUGGAGGGUCAUUGGAAACUGGAAAACUUGAGUGCAGAAGAGGAAAGUGGAAUUCCAUGUGUAGCGGUGAAAUGCGCAGAGAUAUGGAGGAACACCAGUGGCGAAGGCGACUUUCUGGUCUGUAACUGACGCUGAUGUGCGAAAGCGUGGGGAUCAAACAGGAUUAGAUACCCUGGUAGUCCACGCCGUAAACGAUGAGUGCUAAGUGUUAGGGGGUUUCCGCCCCUUAGUGCUGCAGCUAACGCAUUAAGCACUCCGCCUGGGGAGUACGACCGCAAGGUUGAAACUCAAAGGAAUUGACGGGGACCCGCACAAGCGGUGGAGCAUGUGGUUUAAUUCGAAGCAACGCGAAGAACCUUACCAAAUCUUGACAUCCUUUGACAACUCUAGAGAUAGAGCCUUCCCCUUCGGGGGACAAAGUGACAGGUGGUGCAUGGUUGUCGUCAGCUCGUGUCGUGAGAUGUUGGGUUAAGUCCCGCAACGAGCGCAACCCUUAAGCUUAGUUGCCAUCAUUAAGUUGGGCACUCUAAGUUGACUGCCGGUGACAAACCGGAGGAAGGUGGGGAUGACGUCAAAUCAUCAUGCCCCUUAUGAUUUGGGCUACACACGUGCUACAAUGGACAAUACAAAGGGCAGCGAAACCGCGAGGUCAAGCAAAUCCCAUAAAGUUGUUCUCAGUUCGGAUUGUAGUCUGCAACUCGACUACAUGAAGCUGGAAUCGCUAGUAAUCGUAGAUCAGCAUGCUACGGUGAAUACGUUCCCGGGUCUUGUACACACCGCCCGUCACACCACGAGAGUUUGUAACACCCGAAGCCGGUGGAGUAACCUUUUAGGAGCUAGCCGUCGAAGGUGGGACAAAUGAUUGGGGUGAAG
rnacentral:rRNA from 2 species